ACGCUGGCGGCGUGCCUAACACAUGCAAGUCAACUUUGACUGAAGGAGCAAUCUGACAGUAGAGUGGCGCAAGGGUGCGUAACGCGUACGUAACUUGCCCAAGGUAAGGAAUAACGUCGAGAAAUCGGCGCUAAUACCUCAUAAUGCAGCGGAUCCGCAUGGAUAUGUUGUUAAAGGUUUACCGCCUUGGGAUAGGCUUGCGUCUGAUUAGCUAGUUGGUGUGGUAACGGCACACCAAGGCUACGAUCAGUAACUGGUCUGAGAGGAUGAUCAGUCACACUGGAACUGAGACACGGUCCAGACUCCUACGGGAGGCAGCAGUGAGGAAUAUUGGGCAAUGCUCGAAAGAGUGACCCAGCAACGCCGCGUGGAGGAUGAAGGUAUUCUAUAUCGUAAACUCCUGUGAGAGCAGACGAAAGACAGAUUAUUAAUCUGGAUGACUGUAUGCUCAGAGGAAGCCCCGGCUAACUACGUG
rnacentral:rRNA from 1 species